CUUGGGCUCAGCUGCUUUAGAGUCUCUUCCACCUUAGCUUCAUUUUGAAGACACGUGUCUACAGUUCUGUGUCACUUUGAAAUGUCUGUCUCAUUUGGCUAAUCUUACUGAAUUAGGUAGCCUUUAUACUGCCCUUGAAAGGUAUUUGGUUUGGCUUUACAAAGAAGGAAAUUGGUAGCUUUGAUAGGUCGAUUCAGUUGUUCCAUCCCUCUAUGUCAGUGAGGGCUUGUAAGCACUUACCCUUCUUUUACAUGGUGCCAACACAAGGAAAAAAAAAGAUUUGUCAAACAUCUCUGUGGCUCUCAAAACAGAGGUCAGUAAUGUUCCUGAUUUUGUUUCUUUUGACAUAAUGCUAUAAUGCCACUCCUAGCUUCCAAGAGAUUAAAAAAAAAAAAAAAAAAAAAAAAAAAAGCCUGUGACUGGUGCUUUGCCAUUUGUCUCCCGCAGGUCAGGCUGGGUUUCCCUGAGGUCUGGGAGGUUGCAUGCAGAGUGAUUUUCCCAGCCUUGCUGCAGUGUGGUGGCUCAGCUGGCAGAGCAUCCUGUUGCCUUGGGGCAGCAAGCCAGGUCUGGGGAUUUUCACACAUAUGUCUCCCUUCUCAACCUGUGCAUUCAUCUAUGCAUGCAGAGGAAACAUGGCCAAGUGCUGCACAGCAGACUGAGAAUCAAGGAAGCUGAGUCUGGAGACUAUCCCUCCUGCUGACGGUGAAUGAAGACUGCAAUAUUCUCUGCUGCAAGUCCAUCUGCUCUUGAACCUUUAAAAAGAUCUAUCUAACAGUGUUUUUCCUUUGAAGUUUCCAAAGCUACUUAUGAAGCCUUGAAAGCAGUACUAUUCAUGUGCUACAGAUACGAGAGCUGAAUCAUCAAGGUAACAAAUUGUUUGAGAAGGGACAGUUUUCUCUAAGUAAUGAACACAUGGAAGGAACUGGGGGAAGAUCCAGUGCUUUCCAGUGAUUUCUCUGAGCUCAGCAAGCACUGAAAUACAUAGGAUAGUGGAGAAAUCUGCACAAAUGAAGUUGCCCAGAAGACUACGCUGUAUCAUUAAAGAACUCGGUAGUAAAAAUAC
rnacentral:lncRNA from 1 species